rnacentral:rRNA from 1 species
UACGUAGGGAGCUAGCGUUGUUCGGAAUCACUGGGCGUAAAGCGCACGUAGGCGGAUGUGUCAGUCAGGGGUGAAAUCCCGGAGCUCAACUUCGGAACUGCCUCUGAUACAGCACGUCUUGAGUCCGAUAGAGGUGGGUGGAAUUCCUAGUGUAGAGGUGAAAUUCGUAGAUAUUAGGAAGAACACCGGUGGCGAAGGCGGCCCACUGGAUCGGUACUGACGCUGAGGUGCGAAAGCAUGGGGAGCAAACAGG